GGCAUGUUUUGACCUAUUUCGGGCCAUUUUCGUGUUGCUGGGGGGAUGAACUCUGAAUGACCUAUUAAAUAAAAGUGUAAUAUCUUUGACACCUAGCGAUACAAACGAUGAUUUUACCAGCACAAACCGACACAAACGGAGCACUAACCACCCAGUAUUUUUUCUGUUUUUCUUUUUCUCUCAGGUUGCUGGUUGUGGAAUUUGGAGCUGCAGAGAUUUGAGCUGUGCUCCAAAAGUGCAUGUUGAAGGUACCUAAUGCUUGCAUAUUAUUUACUUUUUCCUUAAUACGCAAUUUUACAUUUUGAAUUCUCUUAUUUGGUCUUUUAGGUUAUCACCACAGUUCCACUGCUGUCCACAUUCAUGAGCAGUCUUGACCAGUACUCUGACCAGUUGAUGAAGAUUCUACGAAAAAAAGGAGGGGAAACAGCGCGGCGGAUCACAGCAGCAUUGUCUACAAUUUCACAGCACUCCUAUGCAACAACACUUUUCUUCCUUCUUUCGGGUGGUA
ensembl:lncRNA